CGCCGCCCCGACCCCAAGCCGCAGCCCGCCGACACUGCCAUUGCUAUUGCAGCUGGAGCCGCGCUACUAGAGUCAGACGCGCCCCUAGAGACAAUAGAGGCAGGCGGGGCGCCUCGCGGGGAGUUGCGCGGGCGCCGCGGGCCCGGCCGGCCGCGAUUACGCGCCUCGGCCCCGCGCGCCGCCCCGCGCCGUCCGCGAAGGCCCCGCGAGCCUCUACUGGUACCACUGGCGCCACCGCCGUAGACAAAGAAGACUAUAGCGUGUCUCACGAAGAGUUGAGCAAGAUUCCACGCUGCAUCAACGGCAACCCAGGCCUGCGCGUCCUACCUCCCACUAGUGCAAUUUGUAAUUAUUGCAAUAUUUACAACAGUCAUGUACAAAGAAACGCUUUUAUUUGUAAAGUAUUACACGCGAAGUUUCUGAAACUUUGCCUUAUUAUUUAUGUUGCUCAUAAACAAAUAUAAAAACACUUAUUAUGUAAGAUUUGUUAUUUGUUCUACUAUUUAUUUCAUUAAACACUUAAAUGAAUUAUCACUUAAAAAUAACAUUGAACAAGAUGUGGAAUAAUAACAAUCUGAGUUAAAAUGUAUAAAUAUUUUGUAUAAAUACAUAACAAAAAUCUGUAAUUACAUUAAAAUUAUGCCAUGUUUAAUGUAUUAAUAUAUCAGCUAAACCAAGAUUUGGCUGUUCUUUUUAUUUUUGCUCUUACAUACUUGUAGUUGAAUCUUUUAUCUUUCUAAAGAACAACCACCUUAAUUUUGUUCGAAAAUUAAUGUCUGUCAUUUCUGGUUUAGUUGGUACAAUGGAAGUAAAUCAAGUAUUACUUGCAAAAACAAUAUACCCAAAAAUCUGCUAUUUGGAUUACCAUGAUACCAUGAAUAUGAAUAACCAUUAUGUUCAAUGCAUUGUUAAUUAUGCAACAUGACGUAAACACUGAAAUAAAUAUUAUUAUGAGAA